rnacentral:sRNA from 1 species
CGAUAAGCGAAAACAGGAUAACUCCAGUUAACAUGAUUAUUGAGAAACACCAUUAUAACGUUUUCAAAUAUACUGGACUUACCGCAUAUUUGCUUAUUUUAAAUUUCAUUUAACGAUGGGUUUUAAUAGGAAAUACGCUAUUUUUACAUCAAAAAUCAGUGUAAAACCACUAAUUUUAUCUAUAGGAACAAAAAUAUCAUUUUUACGAAAAAUGUUGUUAUCCUAUUUUCGCUUAGCACGGCGGAAUACUAUCACUGUGUACUACUCAAAAAUCCAUUACUUUUUUGAAUAAAUUUCAAUAUAGGUCAGUGUUAUAAACA